AUCCAGCUGACGAGUGCAAAACAAGACGAAACGCGCGUCUUGGAU
rnacentral:hammerhead_ribozyme from 1 species